UACAGAGGUCCCGAGCGUUGUUCGGAUUCACUGGGCGUAAAGGGUGCGUAGGUGGCUUCGCAAGUUUGAUGUGAAAUCUCCGGGCUUAACCCGGAAAUGGCAUUGAAUACUGCGUGAGCUCGAGGGUUGGAGGGGGGGACUGGAAUUCUCGGUGUAGCAGUGAAAUGCGUAGAUAUCGAGAGGAACACCAGUGGCGAAGGCGAGUCCCUGGACAACCCCCUGACACUGGAGGCACG
rnacentral:rRNA from 1 species